UUAGAAGGAAAAAGAAAGGAAAAAAGGAAGUUGGGAGGAUUGGUGUUGACAGCAGAUCAACUGGGAGAGUCUAAAUGACAGAAUUUAGGAAUCCUUACUCUCUGAAGAGAGAUGCUAACAAGGGAAACACCUUCAGGAAGACUUGCUGAGAUGUCUAUAAAAAAUGUUUUGGUCACUGAGGAAUGCUAAAGGAUAAGACGGUCCAGAGCACGUGCCUCUGGUCACGUGAGACAUUGACACCUACUGUUGCAUCCUUCUCUGUGAUAAACAUGAAGACGGAGUGGAAGAAAUACGGAGCUCUCACCAGCAGAGACCAGCUGCUGUUCAGUGACUCCAGCCUGAGUCAGUGACAAGUCCUCUACAAGAACCCAUGUAAGGCCUUCCCCAGACCCCACAGCCAAGCAGAGGUAAUGCCAGAAGAAUUAAGUGACCAGUGGAAAGACAGUAUGUUGCUAACUCAAGAAUUCUCACAGCUUUCUCUAACUCCAGCUCCAGGGGAAUUGAUGUCUUCAAGACUCCAUGGGCGCUUGUACAUACAUUCACA
rnacentral:lncRNA from 1 species